GGUGCCUACGGGACGCAGCAGUGAGGAAUAUUGGUCAAUGGGCUUACGCCUGAACCAGCCAAGUCGCGUGAGGGAAGACUGCCCUAUGGGUCGUAAACCUCUUUUGUCAGGGAGCAAAGGCGUCCACGUGUGGACGAGAGGAGAGUACCUGAAGAAAAAGCAUCGGCUAACUCCGUGCCAGCAGCCGCGGUAAUACGGAGGAUGCGAGCGUUAUCCGGAUUUAUUGGGUUUAAAGGGUGCGUAGGCGGAGUGUCAAGUCAGCGGUAAAAUUUCGGGGCUCAACCCCGUCGUGCCGUUGAAACUGA
rnacentral:rRNA from 1 species